CUACGGAGGGUGCGAGCGUUAAUCGGAAUUACUGGGCGUAAAGCGUACGUAGGCGGUUGGUUAAGUUAGAUGUGAAAGCCCCGGGCUUAACCUGGGAACUGCAUUUAAAACUGGCGAACUAGAGUUGAGUAGAGGGGAGUGGAAUUUCAGGUGUGGCGGUGAAAUGCGUAGGGAUCUGAAGGAACACCAGUGGCGAAGGCGACUCCCUGGACUCGAACUGACGCUGAGGUACGAAAGCGUGGGUAGCAAACGGGAUUAGAUACCCUAGUAGUCC
rnacentral:rRNA from 1 species